rnacentral:rRNA from 1 species
GACGAACGCUGGCGGCGUGCUUAAUACAUGCAAGUCGAACGCAGUGGGGACGGGUGAGUAACACGUGGGUAACCUCCCAUCAGAGGGGAUAACACUUGGAAACAGGUGCUAAACCUAUACUGAUGGAUGGACCCGCGGUGCAUUAGCUAGUUGGUGAGGUAACGGCCCACCAAGGCCACGAUGCAUAGGCGGCCUGAGAGGGUGAUGGGGGAGACUGGGACUGAGACACGGCCGAGACUCCUAAGAGAGGCAGCAGUGGGGAAUGUGCGGCAAUGGACGAAAGGCUGACCGAGCAGCGCCGCGUGAGUGAAGAAGGUGUUCGGGUCGUAAAGCUCUGUUGUUAGAGAAGCGGUAUCUAACCAGAAAGCCACGGCUAACUACGUGCCAGCAGCCGCGGUAAUUC